GCCGGGCGUGGUGGCUCAUGCCUGUAAUCCCAGCACUUUGGGAGGCCGAGGCAGGUGGAUCACCUGAGGUCAGGAGUUCCAGACCAGCCUGGCCAACAUGGCGAAACCCUGUCUCUA
ensembl:misc_RNA Metazoa_SRP Metazoan signal recognition particle RNA